GUGGGGAAUAUUGGACAAUGGGCGAAAGCCUGAUCCAGCCAUGCCGCGUGAGUGAUGAAGGCCUUAGGGUUGUAAAACUCUUUCAGUGGGGACGAUAAUGACGGUACCCACAGAAGAAGCCCCGGCUAACUUCGUGCCAGCAGCCGCGGUAAUACGAAGGGGGCUAGCGUUGUUCGGAUUUACUGGGCGUAAAGCGCACGUAGGCGGAUCGUUAAGUCGGGGGUGAAAUCCUGGAGCUCAACUCCAGAACUGCCUUCGAUACUGGCGAUCUUGAGUCCGGAAGGUGUGAGUGGAACGCCUAGUGUAGGGGUGGAAUUCGUAGAUAUUAGGCAGAGCGCCUGUGGCGAAGGCGGCUCACGGGUCCGGUACUGACGCUGAGGUGCGAAAGCGUGGGGAGCAAACAGGAUUAGAAACCCUGGUAGUCC
rnacentral:rRNA from 1 species